rnacentral:rRNA from 1 species
CCCUUAGAUGUUCUGGGCAGCACGCGCGCUACAAUUGUCUUCGCAAACGGAUGCAUUCUCGAAGGAGAAUGCCAAUCUUGGAAUCUAUGCCUUGGUCGGGACAGUUGCUUGCAAUUUUUCGACUCGAACCAGGAAUUCCUUGUAAUCGUGAUUCAUCACAUCACGAUGAAUACGUCCCUGCCCUUUGUACACACCGCCCGUCGCUCCUACCGAUCGAAGAGUUAGGUGAAUUGUUUUGAUCGAUAAGAUUUGACUAUGGUCAACUCUCGUUGUGAAAUUCUGUGAAUCUGACUGUUUAGAGGAAGGAAAAGUCGUAACA